CCUACGGGAGGCAGCAGUGAGGAAUAUUGGUCAAUGGACGAGAGUCUGAACCAGCCAAGUAGCGUGAAGGAUGACUGCCCUAUGGGUUGUAAACUUCUUUUAUAUGGGAAUAAAAUGUUCCACGUGUGGGAUUUUGUAUGUACCAUAUGAAUAAGGAUCGGCUAACUCCGUGCCAGCAGCCGCGGUAAUACGGAGGAUCCGAGCGUUAUCCGGAUUUAUUGGGUUUAAAGGGAGCGUAGGUGGAUUGUUAAGUCAGUUGUGAAAGUCUGCGGCUCAACCGUAAAAUUGCAGUUGAAACUGGCAGUCUUGAGUACAGUAGAGGUGGGCGGAAUUCGUGGUGUAGCGGUGAAAUGCUUAGAUAUCACGAAGAACUCCGAUUGCGAAGGCAGCUUACUGGACUGCAACUGACACUGAGGCUCGAAAGUGUGGGUAUCAAACAGGAUUAGAUACCCCAGUAGUC
rnacentral:rRNA from 1 species